UACAAGCAAAUAGCCUCUGGCUCUUGGGUCAACUGAGGCAUCGUAGCAUCUUGAAAUUAUGCCGAACUCGUCUCCAUCCAGAGGGCAACAGCAUUUCUCAACCGUUCUUUUAAAUUUAGAUAUCCAAGCACGAAAGAGUUCUUACAUCAUUAGAAGAAAUGUUGUCGGAAUCUAAGCUCCAUGAGUUGCUAAUUAAUUAUAGUUUCUUAAGCUUCAAGACUACUAGCAUCUACUAACUUGAUUUUAUAACCUAACCCAUCAGGCAUCAGUUAGCUUGACCUGAAAAACAUCUUUUUUUUUUUGUUAUCUUUAUACACCCAUUGCCUAACCUCUACCCCUCCCUCCCCUUCUCCCUUGUCUUGAUAAAGACAUGAAAUGACAGAUUCGCAUUUCAAGAAGAGACAUGCUGUUUCUUGCCAGAGUGAAUAAACAUGAGAUGGAAGCUACUCAUUGAAGCCUAUCAAGUAACUAAUGCGGCAAGUUACUUCGCCUAGUUGGAGGAAAUAUUAGACUAGCUUACAUGUCCUUUUCUGGCUUGAAUGACCCAUGAAGAGCCGGCAAAGCAAAUAGAAGAGAAAAUCCGUCUCAUCUUGUUGCACUUAUCUCACCACAAAGUGCCCCCUUACGGCUGUCCUUGCUUGCCCCAAUCCUUGUUCACUAGAGUUGACGAGGUGUUUUGACACGAUCCGAAUAAGACAGCUACUUUUGGAGAAAAUGCAAAGCACAGCUAAACUGUCAACAACCCCAGAUCCACUUGUGCUUUCUUCAUGCUCAAUUAGGAGAACAUGGACAAGCAGAUGAAUUUAGAGACAACAUAGUUGACUAGCCCUGAAAAGGAUCAUGGCUUCCACUUCCCUGCAAGGUUGCAACUUUUAUCAAUUCGAGCAGGUCGUCUUACAAAGGAUUGACGAUGAAAACUGAAUCCAUUUGAUACGGGAAGCCCCAUACUUGGGCAUUACUCUCUUGGGAGUUAUAGUUGCUCAAACAACGUGUUUACGAAACUUCAAGUUGAGGUCAAAAUGAUAUUACCAAGUUUCUAGCCAAAUCCCAAUUCCCAGCCAUGAUUUUUAGGGGGGAAAAAAAGAAAAAGGAAACAGGUUGCCUCCCCUGUCAAACCACCGCAAAAUUCUUAUAUUUUCAUGUGUGAACGGUCCGUUUGUCUAAGCGUUUACAACUGUGUUUGUUAUGUAACAGUGAAAAUCUAGUGUUUGGUUAUGAAAUCAACCGUGAUUUUUGUA